GAAAUGAGCUUCACGAAGUUGUCGUUGAGCGCGAUGCCGGCUUUAGCAUCGAAGACGGACGAGUGGGUGUCGCCGAUAAAGUCCGUAGAGACAACCUGGGUGCCAGAAUUUCUGAGGAAGCAUGUAUUGAACAUCUGCUGUGUGCCAGGCCCUGAGAAGAUGGCUGGAGCUAUGGAAGUGAAAAGAUAGUCCCCAGAUCCUUGCCUUCUUGGAGUGCACGUGCUCGCAGGACCAGCAGUGACUGAGAUGGAAUUUCAGGUCUGAAGUGAUGAGCCAGGUGUGGAGGUUGUGGGGCCACCACAGACCACUGGAGGGGCACCUGCAAGCUGGGGUUCAGCCUUGCCGAGAGUUACACAGAAUUUUAAAAGACUCUACCACUGGCGGGCCUUUCCUCUUGAAACCAGUCUCUUUCUAUUAAAGUCACACACUAAUCUGAGAGGAAGCAGUACAGGUUCCCUGCCAUCCAUCCUGCCCAGCCCUCUCCCCAACUCACCAUCAGUCCUUCCACAAUCCCGAAUCGCUCAUGAACGACCUUGGCAAGGGGGGCCAGGCAGUUGGUAGUGCAGGAUGCAUUGCUGAAACAGCCCAGUAUGCAAGGGAACUGUGAGGCUGGCAUGUUCUCUGGACAUCACCCACCCACUUCUGGAUGUUGGUGCCCGUUACCUGACAACUUUCAUGGAAUCAGGAUUAUAGUCCUUUUCAUUCACCCCCAUGACAAACAUGGGUGCAUCUGGUGAGGGUGCGCUGAUGACCACACGUAAGGCACCCGCCUGGAUGUGGCUCUAGGGAAGGAGGAAGGAGCCCUGGUGUCAUGAACUGAUGAGAUGCUUUGAGUGUCACCUCCCCUGGCCAGCCCCGCCCACUUCUCCCCACUUACAGAAGCUUCCUCUUGGGACAGGUACACUCCUGUGGACUCCACUACAAAGGGGCUUCCGACAGACUUCCAGGGGAUCUCUUUGGGCUGCUUGCUAUGGAGAGGUGGCAAGGCUGUGUAUCAGCCUCCCUUGCAUGGCCUUGCCUUCAUAGUCCCUGGCCUUUACUGUUUGAAAGGCUGACUAGACACCUUCCCACCUGGCCUGUAACCAUCUGUUCUCCCCACCCCACACAUACCUAGUUAUCCCAGGUGGAUUUGACCCUGCUAGUCUUGCCUGUUGGCAUUUUGCUGAGGAGGGAGGCUGAGGUAAAGAAUUGGAGGAGGUGAGGACAGAUAUAUGGCCACUUGGGGGAAAAGCUUUCCAGACCAAGUGCAAAGAUUCUGAGGCAGGAGAUCUGACUCUCCCAGCCCUGCAGUUGCUAUCUUGAUACAUUUUGAGCAGCUCUUGUUGGCCACUUACCUUGACUGCCCUUCCUCUGCUAUGCCCCAGUAUAUACAAGUUGCCACCUUCCCUACUCAGGCUCAUUCACCCUCUGUCUCCAGGGGACCACCCCUGACUACUGCCAACCAGGUCAGGCCCUUUCUAUGCCUAGAAUGUAGACUCCAGAAGGGUGAGGCCUGCUGCACUGCUUCUGAUUCCCUGUCCUCACAACCUCACCAUGGCCCUCCUUGCCUCUUGUCUCUAGCACUCAGCUUCUGCAACCGGGAGCCUUCUGCCAGAGGCUGAGCAAGUCCCUGAAGACAGGAACUACAUCCUGGGAGCAAUGGGGGGACGGGCUACCGUGGGGUCAGCAGUGGAUCAGAAAGAUUCUGGACAUAUCUUUAAAUGGAGGAAAAUUAACAUCAAUAACUAUGUGAAAUGGGGCCAAGAGGAACCGAGUAGAAGCACUUGGCCAUAUGUCGAUGUCGCUUCGUGGGAAGGGAGAUGAAUAGGUUUGGGGGUUGAUGGAGAACCAAGAGGUGAGUUUUAGACAUGUUGAAUUGCUAUGCCUGUGCGAAAACUUGUAAAUGUGCAUUAAAUCAGAAUGCACAUUUUGAUUUAUUCCUGAGUAGAGUGGGGCAUCUUUCUAAGUCAGUGCUUCCUAACCAUUUUAGCAGUCACAGACUUCUCUGAGACCCCCCUCUUCCAACCAGUACUGAGAGACAUACAUGCUGAGGGGUUAUGAAUCCCAAGGAGAGGCUGGGAUCCCAUUCAUGUCAUCUUUACACUCCCUCCAUUAAUGUGUUGCAGGCAUGCAUCAGACAGCUGCCCUUACCACUGGAAGACACUGAUCUCCUGUUUAUCCACAACCAGCCGUCCAUUCUUGUAUUCCACAGUCCCCUUGUAUCGGCCAUGGGUGGAGUCAUACUUAAACAUGUACACCUGUGGGAGACA